rnacentral:rRNA from 1 species
CUCCUUAGAAGGAAAACUUUUCACUUGGACAAUUAUAAUUGUGCUGUAAACAAUUGCCAGCAGGAAGAAACACUUCAGCACCUCUUUUGGACAUGUCCUUUUGCUGCACAGUGUUGGGAUAUGAUCUGUCCCUCUAGGCAGAGAAAUGCAUCAGUUCUCGAGGCUUUUGCUGAUCUAAAACUGAAACUUCAUCUGCCUUUCUUCAUGGAAAUCAUCAUCCUGGCUUCAUGGGCCAUCUGGAUCACUAGGAACAAUCUCAUUUUUCAGGACAUUCAACCAAGCAUUCAAGGAUGGAAAGGGAUCUUCUUGGAGGAACUAAAUUUGCUAAGAUUCAGAAUUAAGAAGAGCUAUGCUAGAGCUUUCUGUCUCUGGCUUGACAACCUUGUCCUGUAA